UUGCCAGCCCGCUCAAGAAACUUAAAUGAAUUGACGGGGCCGCACAAGCGAGGAGCAUGUGGUUUAAUUCGAUGAUACGCGAGGAACCUUACCUGGGCUCGAACGUAAGAUGACUGUAGGUGAAAGCUUACAUCUCUUCGGAGCAUUUUACGAGGUGCUGCAUGGUUGUCGUCAGCUCGUGCCGUGAGGUGUCGGGUUAAGUCCCAUAACGAGCGCAACCCCUACCUUUAGUUGCCAUCAGGUUAAGCUGGGGACUCUAAAGGAACUGCCUACGCAAGUAGUGAGGAAGGCGGGGAUGACGUCAAAUCAGCACGGCCCUUACGUCCAGGGCUACACACGUGCUACAAUGGCCGAUACAGAGGGCAGCUACCUGGUGACAGGAUGCAAAUCUCCAAAGUCGGUCUCAGUUCGGAUCGGAGUCUGCAACCCGACUCCGUGAAGUUGGAUUCGCUAGUAAUCGCGCAUCAGCCAUGGCGCGGUGAAUACGUUCCCGGGCCUU
rnacentral:rRNA from 1 species